rnacentral:rRNA from 1 species
GCGACCCCAGGAUGGGCGAGGCCACCCGCUGAUU